GUUUAGCCAAUUUAUCAUGAAAGGUAAAAGGGGAUAAAGGAACCGUGUGUUGAUUGUCCUGUAAAUAUAAGUUGUCUUCCUCCAUAUGUAAAAAGGGAAUAAAUAAAUCAAUUAAAUUUCGGGAUGCGUCAUGAAGUGCUUCUUUCGGAGUUAAACUUCCGUUUGUCCAUAUUUCGAUAAAAAGUAUCUCUUGUUUUUCAUUCCCAUUCCCAUAAGAAUGAAUACUAUGAUUCGCGUUUCGAACAGGCAUGAAUACAGCAUCUAUAGGAUAACUUCCAUCUUGAAAGUUAUGUGGCGUUUUUAUAAGAUAUCCACGAUUUCUCUCUAUUUGUAAUCCAAUACAAAAAUCAAUUGGUUCCGUUAAACUAGCUAUAUGUUGUGUAUUAUCAACGAUUUCCACAUAAGGUGGCAAGAUGAUAUCUUGAGCAGUUACAUAUCCAGGACCCUUGACACAAAUAGACGCCUCAGAAGUUCCAUAUAAAUUACUUCUCAAUACAAUCUCUUUCAAAUUCAUUAAAAUUUCAUGUACCGAUUCUUGAAUGCCCGUUAUGGUAGAAUAUUCAUGUGGUACUUUCUCAGAUUUUACACGUGUGAUACAUGUUCCUUCUAUUUCCCCAAGUAAAGCUCUUCGCAUCGCAAUGCCUAUUGUGUCGGCUUGGCCUUUCAUAAGUGGAGACAGAAUAAAGCGUCCAUAAUAAAGGCGUUUACUGUCUGUUCUUGAUUCAACACACUUCCACUGUAGUGUCCGAGUAGAUACUGUUACUUUCUCUCGAACCAUAGUACUAUUAUUUGAUUAGAUCAUCGAAUCUUUUAUUUCUCUUGAGAUUUCUUCAAUGUUCAGUUCUACACACGUCUUUUUUUCGGAGGUCUACAGCCAUUAUGUGGCAUCGGAGUUACAUCCCGUACGAAAGUUAAUAGUAUACCACUGCGACGAAUAGCUCGUAAUGCUGCAUCUCUUCCGAGACCGGGACCUUUUAUCAUGACUUCUGCUCGUUGCAUACCUUGAUCCACUACUGUACGGAUAGCGUUUGCUGCUGCGGUUUGAGCAGCAAACGGUGUUCCUCUUCUCGUACCUUUGAAUCCAGAAGUACCAGCUGAGGACCAAGAAACUACUCGACCCCGUACAUCUGUAACAGUGACAAUGGUAUUAUUGAAACUUGCUUGAACAUGAAUAACUCCCUUUGGUAUUCUACGUGCACCCUUACGUGAACUAAUACGUCCAUUCCGACGCGAACUAAUUUUCGGUAUAGCUUUUGCCAUAUUUUAUCAUCUCGUAAAUAUGAGUCAGAGAUAUAUGGAUAUAUCCAUUUCAUGUCAAAACAGAUUCUUUAUUUGUACAUCGGCUCUUCUGGCAAGUCUGAUUAGCCCUGUCUUUGUUUAUGUCUCGGGUUGGAACAAAUUACUAUAAUGCGCCCCCUCCUACGGAUUAGUCGACAUUUUUCACAAAUUUUACGAACGGAAGCUCUUAUUUUCAUAUUUAUCAUUCCUUACCUUAAUUCUGAAUCUAUUUCUUGGAAGAAAAUAAGUUUCUUGAAAUUUUUCAUCUCGAAUUGUAUUCCCACGAAAGGAAUGGUGAAGUUGAAAACCUAAUCCUUCAAAUCUUUGUUGUGGAGUCGAUAAAUUAUAUGUCCUUUGGUUGAAUCAUAAGGACUUACUUCAAUUUUGACUCUAUCUCCUGGCAGUAUCUGUAUAAAACAAAGUUCCUUUGAGGUAUCAACUAAUGCGAAAGAUAUUAGAUAACUCUCCCCCCCUUUUUCGCAAAUAGGAAGUUUCGAAUUCAAUUUGCAUAUUAUAAAGGAUUACCAGAUAUAACACAAAAUUUCUCCACCUAUUCCUUCUAGUCGAGCCUCUCGGUCUGUCAUUAUACCUCGAGAAGUAGAAAGAAUUACAAUCCCCAUUCCACCUAAAAUUCGCGGAAUUCGUUGAUAAUUAGAAUAGAUUCGUAGACCAGGUCGACUGAUUCGUUUUAAAUUUAAAAUAUUUCUAUAGGGUCUUUUCCUAUUCCUUCUAUGUCGCAGGGUUAAAACCAAAAAGUAUUUGUUGUUUUCUCGAUGUUUUCUCACGUUUUCGAUAAAACCCUCUCGUAAAAGUAUUUGAACAAUAUUUUCGGUAAUAUUAGUAGAUGCUAUUCGAACCACCCUUUUUCGAUCCAUAUCAGCAUUUCGUAUAGAAGUUAUUAUCUCAGCAAUAGUGUCCCUGCCCAUGAUGAACUAAAAUUAUUGGGGUCUCCAAAUUUGAUAUAAUCAACGUGUUUUUUACUUAUUUAUUUUUGAAUAUGAUAUGAAUUAUUAAAGAUAUAUGCGUGAGACACAAUCUACUAAUUAAUCUAUUUCUUUCAAAUACCCCACUCGAAACAGAUCACAAUUUCAUUUUAUAAUACCUCGGGAGCUAAUGAAACUAUUUUAGUAAAAUUUAAUUCUCUCAAUUCCCGGGCGAUUGCACCAAAAAUUCGAGUUCCUUUUGGAUUUCCUUCUUGAUCAAUAACAACUGCAGCAUUGUCAUCGUAUCGUAUUAUCAUCCCGUUGUCACGUUUGAGUUCUUUACAGGUACGCACAAUUACAGCUCUGACUACUUCUGAUCUUUCUAGGGGCAUAUUUGGUACUGCUUCUUUGAUCACAGCAACAAUAACGUCACCAAUAUGAGCAUAUCGACGAUUGCUAGCUCCUAUGAUUCGAAUACACAUCAAUUCUCGAGCCCCGCUAUUAUCCGCUACAUUUAAAUGGGUCUGAGGUUGAAUCAUUUUUUUAAUCCGUUCUUUGAAUGCAAAGGGCGAAGAAAAAAAAAGAAAUAUUUUUGUCCAAAAAAAAGAAACAUGCGGUUUUCUUUCAUAUCUAAGAGCCCUUUCUACAUUUUUUUCUAUUACAUUACGAAAUAAUGAAUUGAGUUCGUAUAGGCAUUUUGGAUGCUGCUAGUGAAAUAGCCCUUCUGGCUAUAUUUUCUGUUACUCCACCCAUUUCAUAAAGUAUUCGCCCCGGUUUAACAACAGCUACCCAAUAUUCAGGGGAUCCUUUUCCUGAACCCAUACGGGUUUCUGCCGGUCUUAAUGUAACAGGUUUGUCUGGAAAUAUACGUACCCAUAUUUUUCCACCACGACGUGCAUUUCGUGUCAUUGCCCGUCGGCCUGCUUCUAUUUGUCGAGAUGUAAUCCAAGCAGGUUCAAGUGCCUGAAGAGCAUAUUUACCGAAAGAAAUACGAUUACCUCGAUAAGAUAUUCCCUUCAUUCUGCCUCUAUGUUGUUUACGGAAUCUGGUUCUUUUGGGGUUAUAGUUGAUGGUUGGUUCUGAAUUCCAUCUCUACUACAGAACCGGACGUGAGAGUUUCUUCUCAUCCAGCUCCUCGCAAAUAAAAGGAUUCAAAAAAAUUCAAUUUGAAUUAAGCUAGAAUAGUAAAUCUUAAGUUAAGAUAUAUAAGAUAUGUAUUUACUGAGUAAUACCUUGAACGUGGGCUUCUUUGAGAUUUCAUUAAAUCUAUUAGUAAUUUGUAUAUCUUGUUUGAAUAGAUAACUAAACUUUGUAGUUUUCUAAAGAGAAAUAAAAAAAAUUGUAUUAUUAUACCAAAUCCUUAUUUUGUCCUUUAUUGUAUUGUCCUAAAUUUUGCAAUAAAAAAGUUUUCGCGGGCGAAUAUUUACUCUUUCAAUCCCUAUUUCAUUUGUAGGGUUAACUCGUGACUUCUCAGAUCUCAGAAUACAUGAAUUAAUCUAUGGUUCGUUCCGCCAUCCCGACCAGUGAAUCAUUAAGAUUCCUUUUUCAAUAGAAUCUUUUGCAUUCACAAGUUCCGUCGUUCCCAUCACUUCUUACUUAAUGGUUAGGUCCGAAUUCUACAAUGGAGCUCAGAAUCAAAUUGGUUCUUGAGUCAAUCUUCUUAGUCUUUAUUGGCUCGAAGCUCUUGAUUUUUUGUUCUAUUUCUAUAAGAAGAUUCUUUUUAGUAUGGUAUGAAUGCGUAUUGAUGCUUUAUUACACUGUCUUUUAUGAGAUUACUCAUAGACCUUACAUAUUGGAAUUUUAUAUCAUUGGUAUUCUUUUUCUCUCUUUCUCUCAUCCUUCCCUUUAUCCACAUCUUUUUUGUCUAUUUUGCUUUACAACUUAGAAGCAGAUUUUUUGUUUAUGCAAAAGAUUUCAGUUGCUACAAAGAUAUGACCUAUAUAUCAUAUCUUGACUGGUUCUUUAGAUCCAGAUAAUGCGAAGUGAUGGGUUGGUUAUUAGUUCUAUAGUUUUUAGUUCAUACUAUGUGGGCUGGGUUUUUUUAAUCCUAACCCUAACAAAACCCACGAGUCACACACUAAGCAUAGCAAUUAUAUCAAAUGGUCAAUCGAAUUUUUAUUCAACCUUAUAGAAUUAAGAAUUAGAAAGAAUUAAGAAUUAGAAAUGUUCCCCUUGAUUAGAAAAAGAAUGAAUUGGUCUUUUUUUUUGUUCAAUCAUUGGAUAGAAGGGAAAGACAAGUAGUAAAAUUAUUCCUCGUCUAGAAAUAUCCAAAUUUUGAUGCCCAAUAUUCCAUAGAUAGUUCGAACUGUAUAAGAGCAAUAAUCAAUUUUAGCUCGAAUCGUUUGUAGGGGAACCCUGCCUUCUCUGAUCCAUUCGACACGUGCAAUUUCUUUUCCGUCGAUACGCCCCGCAAUUUGUAUUUGAAUUCCUUUUGUAUCCGCUUGUUCUGUUAAUUCAAUAGCCUUUUUCAUUGCUUUUCGAAAUGAAACUCUAUUCUUUAAUUGUCCAGCUAUAAAUUCUGCAAGAAUAUUAGGGUUUCCGUAAGGUUUUGCAAUUCUUGUGACAGCAAUGUUCAGUUUUCGGUUUACACAAUUAAAUUCUUUUUGUAAGGUCAUUUGUAAUUCUUCGAUUCCGCGCGGUCGACUUUCUAUUAAUAAUUUUGGGAAUCCCAUAAAGAUUAUGACCUGGAUCAGAUCGAUUCUUUUUUGAAUCUCUAUACGUGCAAUUCCCUCGAUGCCAGAGGACGUUCUCAUAUUUUUUUGUACAUAAUUCUUGAUACAAUCUCUGAUUUUUUUAUCU
rnacentral:lncRNA from 1 species